GUUGCGCAGCUGCGUUGGGCGCCUCAGCGCCGCGUCCUCCUCGGGAGUCCCGUAAACUUUCCCGCCCGCCUCGGGUGAAGGCUGCUGAACAACGCACCUAUCUCAGCACUUACAGGGUAGAGGAGUAGAGGAAAUCCAACAAGGCUGAAAAGAAAUGACUGAUACUCACCAGAGCCGGUGAAUAUCUCACGGUUGGCGUGUGGGGUUGCAGUGUUGCUAAGAAGUCAGCCAUGUGGAGGUUCAGAGGAGAGAGUGUUCCAGAAUGAACAACAUCAAAUACAAAGACUCAGGGCAUCUUUAGAAGCUCACGUAGCCAUUCUUACUCCUUAACCUGGCCAGAAGACCUCCUGCUUCUUUGGUUUGCUGAGACAGCUAAAGUGUUGAGGCUAAAUAAAUAAAUAAUAAAAGCACAGUCUCUUCUCUUCUGGGACCCUCGCCGGUGGCCUGGCCAGGGAUCGAACCGGCACUGCAGAGGCUGCGGGGCAGCUUCGCAGCCCAGCACUCAACCUCUGCGCCACCAGGGGAGGCCCUUCUAUACAUCUUUUUCCAGGGUAGAAUUUAGAGAGGAUCUUGAUGUUAAGACUCAACUGAACAGUUAAGAUGCUGCCUGCUAUUCCUUCCUGAUACGUGAUCCUUGUGGCUAUGGUGUUAGUAAAUAGCGAUGAUUAAGAGAUUCUCUGAUGCUUCUCAAAGAGGGGCUGACAAGGCCCAGGACUUUUAUGAGGACCUGCGGCCUUAGGACCGCUGUUGCGCCAUUGUAUAUUGAGAGUUUCCUAUUAUAAUUGUUCUUCAGAAGAGGUGAAAAGUUGCCCCAGUUCUUUACACCUGGAUUAUAUUCUAUGUUAACUUCUGCUCAGGAGAAGCCUGGGACUGGAUUGGAGCUUUCACAGUGUAUCACGACUGAUGGGGAAAAGCAGCUUGCCUGCUUUGAACCUCACUUGCUCUUUCUCAGGCCACACUGCUUCCUCUGAUGAAGGCGAAAUGAACAAUGCAGCAGUCACAGAGUGGAGAGGCUGACAGAAGAGGGAAACCCUUAGGAAUAACAAGUCAUCUGACUUCCUCCCUGACACAACAUUCCUCGCAACAGGAAGCAGCAAGAAAUCCUAGAAAUAAAAGAGGGGAGACAGCACAGAGGAGAGCAGUUAGGAAUACUUUAUCCAUCUUACUUGGAUAAAAUGUAUAAAUAAAGGCCAUUUCACUUGCAGGCAGCAUGAGAGGGCUAUUAUAUUUCUUCAUGGAUUUUUUGGUAUGUUUUUCUUCUCCAGUUUUGAAAUGGGGAUGUGUGAUCCCUGCCUGGCAGAAUGCCCACCUCUUCAGGCCUGCCUCUAGGGCCACCUGCGUUGUAACUGAGGCCAUUAAGAGCAGUUUCUCCCAUUGCACUCGCCUUCCCUGAAUGUAACAUCCACAAUCCCCCUCCAAAUAAAUGGAGAUCCGUUUAAUAGUCAAUACUGUAUUUUUUUUCUACCACAAACUUUGACUGUUUCUUUGAAUUUGGCUUAGGUAAAUGCCCACUGCUAUUCCCUUAUAACUGGAAUUUGUCUUUUGAGGUACAGGAAAGAGACAUGAAAGAAGAAAUAAACAUUCCUGAUGGCAGGCAUUUGAGAGGUCCUAGUUCUCAAGUAAAUCUGACCUGACCAUAACUUGCUGGGUGUUAUCCAGAAAGGCAGUUAGAAACAGAGAAAAAAUAAGCAACAUCCAAAACUAAAAAGCAAUGUGGCGUUAUAUGUGGAGAAGGAAAUACCAAUCCCAUAACGGAAAUUGAUCUUGGAAAGCCCACCUUUCUUACAAGAGCACAACACACAGCAGAGACUCUUUGGAAGAAAAGGUACAGGAGUAACUUCCUAGGCGUUUACAGAAAUUUGAAGGACUCCCUUGUGGAGAAUGGGUUAAAUUUU